rnacentral:rRNA from 1 species
GACGAACGCUGGCGGCGUGGAUUAGGCAUGCAAGUCGAACGGUAUCAUCCUUUCGGGGAUGAGAGAGUGGCGAACGGGUGAGUAACACGUAGGUGAUCUACCCUCAAGACGGGGACAACCCAGGGAAACUUGGGCUAAUACCGGAUGUGAGCAACCUUAGGGUUGUUUGAAAGGUGGCUUCGGCUGCCGCUUGGGGAUGAGCCUGCGUCCUAUUAGCUAGUUGGUGAGGUAACGGCUCACCAAGGCAGUGAUAGGUAGGCGGCCUUAACGGGUGGUCGCCCACACUGGGAUUGAGAUACGGCCCAGACUCCUACGGGAGGCAGCAGUCGAGAAUAGUCUACAAUGGUCGAAAGACUGAUAGUGCGACGCCGCGUGAACGAAGAAGCCCUUCGGGUGUAAAGUCUUUUAUAUGUGAGCAGUGGGUUCCAUAUGAAUAGUAUGGGAUCAGAGAUAUUAGCAUAUGAAUAAAGCAACGGCUAACUCCGUGCCAGCAGCCGCGGUAAA